GCUGGAGCAGGCCUCUGAGAACUGCCGGCUGCGGUGGUUUCUGGUUGCCAUACACAGAGGCAAACAAAGCCGAGGACACGCGGGGUAGCCCCGCCCAGCGCCAGGCUCGGGCUCCGGUUUCCCACCCCUCACCGGGUGGCGCCAGGUCACCCCGGGAUGUUUUCCUCCGCAGGUUGCCUUCUGGGGAGCAGAUGAAGACUAUGAAGGUGGAAUAAUAAAAGGGGAGGCUCCUUUAGAUUUUGGUGGUCAAGGAGGCCUCUCUGAGAGGUGGUCAAGACCUGAGAGAUAAAACCUACUUGUCCAUUUGAGAGACAAGCUGGGAAGAGAGUUUCCUGCCAGGAGGGCAACAGAGACUUGAGGUUGGAGGGGCAUCUUCAUGGACCACUAGAUAGAACCAGUGACUGGGAGUCAGCUAGACCUGAGUUCAAGUACUGAUUCUGCCACUUAUUCGCUGUGUGACUCACUGUGGAAACUUUGUAUGGACCAAACAAGACAGCCGCAACCUGGAUGCAGCCCAGUGACUGUGGGUGUAUGACUGCUGCUAGCCAACUUUGUAAACAUCUCAAUGUAAGGGUGACUUAUGUGACCCUGGGCUCCUGGGUCUCAGCCCAGGGGUUGUGAACAGCAAGUACUUAUAUAUGCCUUCUGAAUAAAAAAGUAACUAAUGGUCAUUUAUCCCCUAGAAAGUGCUCGGUAGAUGUUGAAAAAACACCGAGAAAAUUCUGAGAUUUUGUUCCAGGUGCCUGGGGCAAAACAGAUAACUAAUACCUGUAUGGCCUUAGGUGCAUCACUUCUCUCAAAGCCUCAGUAUUUACAUCUCUAAAAAGGGAGUGGGGGAGGUAUUUGCUGAGAUUGUCCAGAUGAAAUGACAUAAUGUGGAGAAAAUGUUCUACACAGUACUGGACACACAGCACAAUAAAUGUUAACCAUUUUAAUGGUUAUUAUCAUGAUCAUCAUCACGCUUUGUUUCCCUCAGAUGCCUGGUUAUUUUCAAAUA